rnacentral:tRNA from 1 species
GCUUGUAGCUCAGCUGGUUAGAGCGCACGCCUGAUAAGCGUGAGGUCGAUGGUUCAAGUCCAUUCA